rnacentral:rRNA from 1 species
AUUGAACGCUGGCGGAAUGCUUUACACAUGCAAGUCGAGCGGCAGCGCGGCCUUCGGGCUGGCGGCGAGCGGCGAACGGGUGAGUAAUGCAUCGGAACAUGCCCAGUCGUGGGGGAUAACACUUCGAAAGAAGUGCUAAUACCGCAUACGUCCUGAGGGGGAAAGCGGGGGAUCGCAAGACCUCGCGCGAUUGGAGUGGCCGAUGUCAGAUUAGCUAGUUGGUGGGGUAAAGGCCUACCAAGGCGACGAUCUGUAGCUGGUCUGAGAGGAUGAUCAGCCACACUGGGACUGAGACACGGCCCAGACUCCUACGGGAGGCAGCAGUGGGGAAUUUUGGACAAUGGGGGCAACCCUGAUCCAGCCAUUCCGCGUGAGUGAAGAAGGCCUUCGGGUUGUAAAGAUCUUUCGGCAGGAACGAAACGGUGGGCUCUAACAUAGUCCGCUAAUGACGGUACCUGAAGAAGAAGCACCGGCUAACUACGUG